ensembl:lncRNA LINC01278 long intergenic non-protein coding RNA 1278
CAAGAGACCAGCAGCCUGAACUGGCUGGGGCAUCCGGAAGGCUUAGAUCUUGUGGCCAAGAGUUCAGACCGUGGCGAAGUGGAGAGUGACAUGCAGUUGGAUGGCGGUGACUGCGUGCAUUCCACAAUCACGGGCUACUUCAAUUCUGCCUGCUGAGCUGAUUUAAUAAUCUGGAAGAGGAUUAUUCUCCCCCAUCUGGAAGAGGAUUAUUCUCUAUAAUCCCAGUUAGAGACACAAUGACAUAAACAUCGCUAUGAUGUCAGAAGUGGGAUCCAAAGUAGAGCUUAUAAUGACACCUAGGAGUGCUGAGUGACCAAGCAAGGUACCCACCAGGCCGAUUAUGUCCAUUGUUCUCUUGGAGCAGCUGGUCAUCAUGAGCCAAUAAAACUUUUCUUUUGAGUGAUUUGCAGCUUUUAACAAACUGAACCUGCUUAUUUCUGUGAACCAACCAGUGAUCUCUUAUGGCUGUUCAAAAGUAACAAGAGAGAUAUCACCUUUUGUCAUAACUCAAGUCUUAUGAAUGGCCCUCACCAUAAUGAUGCUUUUUGACUGAGCUCUUCUCUAACCUGAAUGCAAGAGGUUAGGCAUGAAUAUCAUCCCCCCUGUUCAGCCUGAAGAAGUUACAGAAGAUGAAUCUUCCACUCUCUACAGCCCUUAGGAUUAAGGGUUCUCUUACUGAAUGUAUUCUUAAACUGAACACUUAUUAAUCUUCCAGAUAUCACCUUUUGUCAUAACUCAAGACUUAUGAAUGGCCCUCACCAUAAUGAUGCUUUUUGACUGAGCUCUUCUCUAACCUGAAUGCAAGAGGUUAGGCAUGAAUAUCAUC